UAGCGGAGGAAAAGAAACCAACAGGGAUUGCCUUAGUAGCGGCGAGUGAAGCGGCAAAAGCUCAAAUUUGAAAUCUGGCACUUUCAGUGUCCGAGUUGUAAUUUGAAGAAGGUAUCUUUGGGUCUGGCUCUUGUCUAUGUUUCUUGGAACAGAACGUCACAGAGGGUGAGAAUCCCGUGCGAUGAGAUGUCCCAGACCUAUGUAAAGUUCCUUCGAAGAGUCGAGUUGUUUGGGAAUGCAGCUCUAAGUGGGUGGUAAAUUCCAUCUAAAGCUAAAUAUUGGCGAGAGACCGAUAGCGAACAAGUACAGUGAUGGAAAGAUGAAAAGAACUUUGAAAAGAGAGUGAAAAAGUACGUGAAAUUGUUGAAAGGGAAGGGCUUGAGAUCAGACUUGGUAUUUUGUAUGUUACUCUCUCGGGGGUGGCCUCUACAGUUUACCGGGCCAGCAUCAGUUUGAGCGGUAGGAUAAGUGCAAAGAAAUGUGGCACUGCUUCGGUAGUGUGUUAUAGUCUUUGUCGAUACUGCCAGCUUAGACUGAGGACUGCGGC
rnacentral:rRNA from 1 species